rnacentral:tRNA from 1 species
GCUUUUAAAGGAUGAUAGCUAAUCCAUUGGUCUUAGGAACCAAAAUUCCUUGGUGCAAACCCAUGUAAAAGCU